rnacentral:rRNA from 1 species
GGCAAAGAUCGACUUAGCUGCCCUUAAACAGAAAAAGUGGUCUCCACCUAGUUUUUAAAAAUGUGGGUUUGUAAACCAGUUAACACGUAAUUUAUACCGGAUCAUAAAAUCUUUUUAAUAAACCAGAUUAAAACGUUAUUAAUAAACCAUCCAGGAAGUGUUUUUUGGAGUAAACCCCGUGAGCUUUUUACUUUUAAACUCAAAAGAAGAUUUCCUUUACUUUUGAGAGAAUCCGUUGUAACUAACCGUAAACUUCCACGUGAGAACACGUGUUAUAUUUUAGUAAUAAACUAAAAAAAGUACACUUUUUCAUCUUCUUUUUGUUUUCUUUUUUGUGUUAAUAUACACGAGAUAAGGUAACCACCAUAAGCAACAGUGUGCCUAGCUACUGUACCACGGGUAGGUAGGUAGGUAGAGAAGUAUGGUGUAGGUAGGUAGGUAAAUACAUAUCUUUUUUUUUCUUUUGGGGUGGGAGGUGGAUAGGUUUGGGAUGGGUCUAGGAUAGUUAGGGGAGGAGGGUAGCGUGGGGAGGAGGGGGGUAGAGGAGCGACGGCGGUGGCUGCCGCGAGGGGAGCUAGGGAGGGUGGUGGCAGAGGGAGGGAGUCUAGCUCGAGGGGGAGGGGAGAGGGAGGGUGGAGAGCUUCGAGGGCGCAGGGUGGCGGCGACGACUGAUGGUGCCGCGGCGGCGGAUGGUACGGCAGCGCCGGCCGGUGCUGCCGGUCAUGGGCAUGAUGAGGAUGCCGCCACCGCGGCUGCGGAACACGGCGACACCGUCCGGCCGCUGCCGCCGGCACGGGUGGCUCCUCCCGAAGAAGGUGCUGUAGAAGCAGCGGGCACGUGCAGUCCUCGUCAGCUCCAGAUCCAGGUUCAGGUGGUUCAGCAGCAGCCACUAGUCGAGGCCGGCGAGGCGGAAGGCCAGCGGCCGGUGGUCGUCAAAUAGCGUUCCGACCUAAACAAACACAAGCACAGCUCUCUAGGCCGGUCCAAGACCCGCGUUCCGACCUAAACCCCGGCCGGCCACAGUAGAGCCAGGUAACAAAAGCGGCGGCGGUUCGACGGGCAUCGGCAGGAGCACUUUUCUUUAACAACCAAGCAAGCAUCGUCAGAUCUCAGACCUUUACGUAGGGUUCCGAGCGUAGGUGCGCCUGGGUCGUCGAGGCCUCGACCUGGCCUAACUGACGGACGGCCUGAGUGAGGAGGACGAAUAGGAGUUGUUCAACCUCCUGCACGUGAGCGAGCCGGCGACGCGGCGGCACAGGUUCGCGAAGUUGCUGGACCAGGGUGAGCAGGUGCUGUACAAGGUGAAGAACCACCUCGUUACACGCGUACGUGGACCGUCAACGUAAGGGAAACGAUGAUUAGUAGCUAUAGUCCAUGUGGCGUCCUGAGUUGGCAUGGCAUGCGGCCCGCAACAGUACGAUGAUUGACGGUCCGGUGGCUGCGACCGCGGCUGGGGCUGGUCUCUAGGCGAUGGCGGGUCCUGGGGUUCGACGACCUGCUGAAGCUUCUGCGGCUUCGGCUGUGGUUUCGUAGAAAGCAUGUAACUCGUUGUUGCCGCUUAAGCUCACCUACUACCUUCCGGAGUCAAACCCCGGUUCUUUUCCGCACCUGCUCCGGUAAAGCGUUCCGGCGGACGUUUAACGACCUGCGUUGUAGUUACAUCGAGACUAGGUCUUGGACCAAGAACCUACGUUGUGUGUAACAGGACCUAUCUAGUCCUACACCGACUCCACCGACGACAACCCUGGUACUAAUCUUCUUCCGACCUCUACACGUGUUAUCAAAAUCAACUACAACGGUGGUAUAAAAGCACGUACACAUAAAGAAAAACUAACAUACGUUUGAACUACCUAGUACGUUUGUACAUACACGACAACACUCAAAGUAACUCACUAAAAACCUAAACUAGUAAAUUAACUCUCUUAAUAACUAACAAACGACAACUUUACACAUUUUCUUUAGAAACUUACUUUUCCGACUUACAAGAUAACCUAG